AAUACAUCGGAAUCUACCCUGUCGUGGGGGAUAACCAAGCGAAAGCUUGGCUAAUACCGCAUACGACCGAGAGGUGAAAGCGGAGGACCGCAAGGCUUCGCGCGAUUGGAUGAGCCGAUGUCGGAUUAGCUAGUUGGCGGGGUAAGAGCCCACCAAGGCGACGAUCCGUAGCUGGUCUGAGAGGAUGAUCAGCCACACUGGGACUGAGACACGGCCCAGACUCCUACGGGAGGCAGCAGUGGGGAAUAUUGGACAAUGGGCGCAAGCCUGAUCCAGCAAUGCCGCGUGUGUGAAGAAGGCCUUCGGGUUGUAAAGCACUUUUAUCGGGAGCGAAAAGCGACGGAUUAAUACCCUGUCGUGCUGACGGUACCCGAUGAAUAAGCACCGGCUAACUUCGUGCCAGCAGCCGCGGUAAUACGAAGGGUGCAAGCGUUAGUCGGAAUUACUGGGC
rnacentral:rRNA from 1 species